GACGAACCGUGCGAACGUUGUUCGGAAUCACUGGGCUUAAAGGGCGCGUAGGCGGGCAUCAUAGUCAGGGGGUGAAAUCCUCCAGCUCAACUGGAGAAGUGCCUCUGAUACUGGGUGCCUCGAGGGGUGCAGGGGCGUGCGGAACUUCCGGUGGAGCGGUGAAAUGCGUAGAUAUCGGAAGGAACACCGGUGGCGAAGGCGGCACGCUGGACACCUUCUGACGCUGAGGCGCGAAGCCAGGGGAGCAAACGGG
rnacentral:rRNA from 1 species